GCGCUGAUAGCUCAGCUGGGAGAGCGUCAGACUGAAGUCCUGAAGGUCCUUGGUUCAAUCCCGAGUCGGCGCA